rnacentral:pre_miRNA from 1 species
UUACUACUCCCUCCGUCCCAAAUUCUUGUCUUGGAUUUGUCUAGAUAUGGAUGUAUCUAAUACUAAAACGUGACUUGAUACAUCCAUAUUUAGACAAAUUUAAGACAAGAAUUUUGGGACGGAGGGAGUACUAU